ensembl:snRNA U6 U6 spliceosomal RNA
GCUCGCUUUGGCAGCAUAUACUAAAAUUGGAACCAUACAGAGAAGGCUAUCAUGGUCCAUGUGCAAGGAUGAAAUGCAAAUUCGUGAAGUGUUCCAUAUUUUA